GACACUAUGGCCGAGUGGUUAAGGCGGAAGACUCGAAAUUUUCUAAAGACUAGUUAUCUUCUGGGCUCUGCCCGCGCAGGUUCAAAUCCUGCUGGUGUCG
rfam:Wickerhamomyces anomalus NRRL Y-366-8 unplaced genomic scaffold WICANscaffold_2, whole genome shotgun sequence.